rnacentral:rRNA from 1 species
AUUGAACGCUGGCGGCAUGCCUUACACAUGCGAGUCGAACGGCAGCACGGGUGCUUGCACCUGGUGGCGAGUGGCGAACGGGUGAGUAAUACAUCGGAACAUGUCCUGUAGUGGGGGAUAGCCCGGCGAAAGCCGGAUUAAUACCGCAUACGAUCUACGGAUGAAAGCGGGGGACCUUCGGGCCUCGCGCUAUAGGGUUGGCCGAUGGCUGAUUAGCUAGUUGGUGGGGUAAAGGCCUACCAAGGCGACGAUCAGUAGCUGGUCUGAGAGGACGACCAGCCACACUGGGACUGAGACACGGCCCAGACUCCUACGGGAGGCAGCAGUGGGGAAUUUUGGACAAUGGGCGAAAGCCUGAUCCAGCAAUGCCGCGUGUGUGAAGAAGGCCUUCGGGUUGUAAAGCACUUUUGUCCGGAAAGAAAUCCUUGGUCCUAAUACGGUCGGGGGAUGACGGUACCGGAAGAAUAAGCACCGGCUAACUACGUG